rnacentral:rRNA from 1 species
UACGAAGGGGGCGAGCGUUGUUCGGAUUUACUGGGCGUAAAGGGCGCGUAGGCGGCCCUCCUAGUCGCGUGUGAAAGCCCCGGGCUCAACCUGGGAAUUGCAUUUGAGACUGCGUAGCUAGGGUGCGGAAGAGGGAAGCGGAAUUUCCGGUGUAGCGGUGAAAUGCGUAGAUAUCGGAAGGAACACCAGUGGCGAAAGCGGCUUCCUGGUCCAGCACCGACGUUCAGGCACGAAAGCGUGGGGAGCAAACAGG